rnacentral:rRNA from 1 species
CGUAGGGUGCGAGCGUUGUUCGGAAUCACUGGGCGUAAAGGGAGCGUAGGCGGAACUGUAAGUUAGAAGUUUAAUACAUGGGCUCAACCCGUGGUCUGCUUUUAAUACUGCGGUUCUUGAGUAUGGGAGAGGGCGAUGGAAUUCCAGGUGUAGCGGUGGAAUGCGUAGAUAUCUGGAAGAACACCAGUAGCGAAGGCGGUCGCCUGGCCCAAUACUGACGCUGAGGCUCGAAAGCUGGGGGAGCAAACAGGA